AUGUCAAAUAGACCAACCAAUGGGCUAAAGAAAAGAUCUAUCCAGAUAGUGAGAAAACUAGAGGAUUUCAGAAUUGAUGAUGGAUGUGCUGCGAUGACUGAGAGAGUUUUCUGGAAUUUUCUGUGGAGUUUUCUGGUGAUUCUCCAAGUGGUGAAGAAUGAAAUCUUAUUUAGGUUGAAUAGGAGCAGGGCAUAUUUGAGUUAUGAAGAAUCAUAA